rnacentral:rRNA from 1 species
UACGUAGGGGCAAGCGUUGUCCGGAAUCAUUGGGCGUAAAGCGCGUGUAGGCGGUCCGGUAAGUCCGCUGUAAAAGUCGGGGGCUCAACCCUCGGAUGCCGGUGGAUACUGUCGGGCUUGAGUACGGAAGAGGCGAGUGGAAUUCCUGGUGUAGCGGUGAAAUGCGCAGAUAUCAGGAGGAACACCAAUUGCGAAGGCAGCUCGCUGGGACGUUACUGACGCUGAGACGCGAAAGCGUGGGGAGCAAACAGG